rnacentral:rRNA from 1 species
UAUGACCUCUCGGCAAUGGAUAUCUUGGCUCUUGCAUCGAUGAAGAGCGCAGCGAAAUGCGAUACGUGGUGUGAAUUGCAGAAUCCCGUGAACCAUCGAGUUUUUGAACGCAAGUUGCGCCCGAGGCCAAUUGGCUAAGGGCACGUCCGCCUGGGCGUCAAGCAUU